rnacentral:rRNA from 1 species
UACGUAGGGGGCAAGCGUUGUCCGGAAUCAUUGGGCGUAAAGAGCGCGUAGGCGGUCCGGUAAGUCCGCUCUGAAAGCCCGGAGCUCAACUCCGGAAUUGCCUUUAAGACUGCAUCGCUCGAAUCAUGGAGAGGUGAGUGGAAUUCCGAGUGUAGAGGUGAAAUUCGUAGAUAUUCGGAAGAACACCAGUGGCGAAGGCGACUCACUGGACAUGUAUUGACGCUGAGGUGCGAAAGCGUGGGGAGCAAACAGG